rnacentral:rRNA from 1 species
AUUGAACGCUGGCGGCAGGCCUAACACAUGCAAGUCGAGCGGAUGAAGGGAGCUCGCUCCUGGAUUCAGCGGCGGACGGGCGAGUAAUGCAUAGGAAUAUGCCUGGUCGUGGGGGAUAACGUACGGAAACGGGCGCUAAUACAGUAUACGUCCUGAGGGAGAACGUGGGGGAUCUUCGGACCUCACGCUAUCAGAUGAGACUAGGUCGGAUUAGCUAGUUGGUGGGGUAAAGGCCUAACAAGGCGACGAUCCGUAACUGGUCUGAGAGGGUGAUCAGUCACACUGGAACUGAGACACGGUCCAGACUCCUACGGGAGGCCGCAGUAGGGAAUUUUGCGCAAUGGGCGAAAGCCUGAUCCAGCCCUGCCGCGUGAGUGAAGAAGGUCUUCGGAUUGUAAAACACUUUUAGUUGGGAAGAACAGAAGUGAAAUUAUCCCUUCACAUUUUGACGUUACCAAAUCAAAAAGCCACGGCUAACUUCGUG